rnacentral:lncRNA from 1 species
GUAGAGACGGGGUUUCACGAUGUUGGCCCGGCUGUCCUCGAACUCCUGGACUCAAGUGAUCUGCCGUCCUUGGCCUCCCAAAGUGCUGGAAUUACAGGCGUGAGCCACUGCACCUGACCUCCAUUUUCCUCUGGUCUUUCAGAGAGCCCAGGCAGAAGCUAUUAUCAUCAAAGGAUGAUUGCAGAAAGGAUGACCUACAAGUGGAUGGUCAGAUCUGGCUGCAAAUGGAUGUCUGAAAGAAAACGGGGAUCCUAGGAAACCCAUCACAGCCCUCUAUGAGCUUCAGAAACCAGCAAGCAGUCCCAGCUAAGGUCCCGGUCAGCAGCCAGCAUUGACCACCAGAUGUGUGAAUGAAGAGGCCUUCAGAUGAUUGCAGCCCCUAUUGUUAAGGCAACCCCAACCUCCGAGUCUUCCCAGCAGAGGAUUCAGCUACUAUGGAGUCAAGAUAAGUCAUUCCCACUGUACCCUGUCUGGGGUCCUGACACAUGAAGAUUGGAAGUGGUUUGUCACAUAGCAAUAGUAACUGAAACACUGGGAGAGGGACGUCUUUAAGAGGAGAAAUUAAGUUCCCAAUGAGAUUUUAAAGAUGUACUAAUGAAACAAUCAAGUAGAGAUAUCAAGUAGUUAGUUGGACAUGUGAGCGUAAGCAGACUUCUUGGCUGGAGAUAUACUAAUGGCAAACAGCAUAUGGAUGUCAUUUAAUUUCCCAGGCCUGGGUGAGAUCACCUACAGCAGGAGGUGGACAGAGAAGAGGAGCUGGUUCAAGACCUCAUUCUGAGGAAGCCCAGUAUUUAGAGAUGGGAUUUCGGAUGUUGGAAUCAUGAGGCUUUUGUUUAAGAGUUGCUUAAGAUGUUCUUCAGAUCCUGAAUUCCAGCAGAACAGCUGACAUCCACAACCAGUUUGAGGAUCCCCACAGAAGAGCUGAAUCAACAUGAGAAUGCAGUUUCUUCAUCUCUCCAGUCCAUGACUUCACCCUGCAAUCCCCACAGAAGAGCUGAAUCAACAUGAGAAUGCAGUUUCUUCAUCUCUCCAGUCCAUGACUUCACCCUGCAAUCCCCACACCUCAGCCCACUCCAAACCCCUUACAAACUCCUCAGGGAGGCAAAUCUGAGGUUUCCUUCCAUCUCCUUGUUCAGAUGCCCUAUGAUUAUUAAACCCUUUCUCUGCUGCAAUCCUUGAGGUCAGUGUGUCCACUUGCCAUGCUUUAGGUAAGGAACCUGUUACAGUCACACUUCCAUGUCCUCUUCCACGGUGCCACUCUCCCACCACAUCAAUGUUACCAACCCAGAAGCUCUCUAAAUUUCACUGUUCAAGAGUAUUUAUCAAAGCUUUGUUUUGUAGGUGUGUUUGAUCAAAUCAUUGGCCAUUGGUGAUUGAGCUCAAUCUCCAGCCUUUCUCCCCUCCCGGGAGGUUGGAGGGUGGGGUUAAAUGUUCAACCCUCUGAUCCCAUGUUUGGUCUUUCUGGGGACCAGUCCCCAACCUAAAUCUAUCUAAGGCCACCCUGAGUCACCUCAUUAACAUAAACUCUAGUAUGGUCAAAAGGAGCUCAUUAUGAAUAACAAAAGAUACACCUAUCACUCAAGAAAUUCUAAUAAUUUAGGAGCUCUGUGCCAGGAACUGGAGGCAAAUAAAGACCAACUAUAUUAUACCACAACUCAACACCAUUAAUUUGAUUUAUAAAGCUAUGAAGUUAGACAGUGAGACAAACUUUCCUGAACCAUGUACGCAAAGACCACCCCCAAAAUUUCCCCCAAAGUUACUUCCCGAAGAAGCUUUGUCAAAAUUUCCAUUAGAAGUUAUUUUCGGCCAGAUGCAGUGGCUCAUGCCUGUAAUCCCAGCAAUUUGGGAGGCCGAGGCAGGCAGAUCAUGAGGUCAGGACUUCAAGACCAGCGUGACCAACAUGGUG